AAGUCUGACGGAGCAACGCCGCGUGAACGAAGAAGGCCUUCGGGUCGUAAAGUUCUGUUGUUAGGGAAGAACAAGUACCAGAGUAACUGCUGGUACCUUGACGGUACCUAACCAGAAAGCCACGGCUAACUACGUGCCAGCAGCCGCGGUAAUACGUAGGUGGCAAGCGUUGUCCGGAAUGAUUGGGCGUAAAGCGCGCGCAGGUGGUUCCUUAAGUCUGAUGUGAAAGCCCACGGCUCAACCGUGGAGGGUCAUUGGAAACUGGGGAACUUGAGUGCAGAAGAGGAAAGUGGAAUUCCAAGUGUAGCGGUGAAAUGCGUAGAGAUUUGGAGGAACACCAGUGGCGAAGGCGACUUUCUGGUCUGUAACUGACACUGAGGC
rnacentral:rRNA from 1 species